rnacentral:piRNA from 1 species
UUAUGUAAUCAUUUUCGAUGG